AUGACCCCGCAGACAGCGCUAUGUCUAGGAAGAGGAUGGCAUGUUGAACCAUCGGCGUCAGCUUCACCGUCGUCCUCGGCAUCGGAUGUUUGUUGUACAAUUUCCUUGAAGUACUGCCAGGUUAGAGUUUGGUGCCAGGGUCGUUGCUGGGUGCGUGGCUACUGCUCCUUCGGAUUCGGUUACUAUCUCAGGUGCUCAAUGUACUACUGCAAUAGAUGCACUGCAGUUACCAAUCUUCGUUUUCUUAGUAGUAUUGAUGUGUUAUUUCCUUUGAAUUAUCUUGUUGACAUUGCCUCCUCCAUUUGGAGGUAUCUCUUUCUUGGUUUGUUGUGCAUACAUAAUAUUUUAGAGACUAUAACUGGUUCAUAUAGGCGGCCAACUGUAGUUGCCAUUGUGGCUGGUGGGGAAUUGAAUAAUAGCUGCAUUUUAGUUCUCUAUGUGCCUUGA
rnacentral:rRNA from 1 species